UACGGAGGAUGCGAGCGUUAUCCGGAUUUAUUGGGUUUAAAGGGUGCCUAGGCGGACGCUUAAGUCAGCGGUAAAAUUGCGGGGCUCAACCUCGUCGAGCCGUUGAAACUGGGUGCCUUGAGUGGGCGAGGAGUACGCGGAAUGCGUGGUGUAGCGGUGAAAUGCAUAGAUAUCACGCAGAACUCCGAUUGCGAAGGCAGCGUACCGGCGCCCAACUGACGCUGAAGCACGAAGGCGUGGGUAUCGAACAGG
rnacentral:rRNA from 1 species